UACGUAGGGUCCGAGCGUUGUCCGGAAUUACUGGGCGUAAAGAGCUCGUAGGUGGUUUGUCGCGUUGUUCGUGAAAACUCACAGCUCAACUGUGGGCGUGCGGGCGAUACGGGCAGACUAGAGUACUGCAGGGGAGACUGGAAUUCCUGGUGUAGCGGUGGAAUGCGCAGAUAUCAGGAGGAACACCGGUGGCGAAGGCGGGGUCUC
rnacentral:rRNA from 1 species